CUGGUUGAUCCUGCCAGUAGUCAUAUGCUUGUCUUCAAAGACAUAAGCCAUGCAUGUCUAAGUAUAAGUAUUAUACAGCGAAACUGCGAAUGGCUCAUUAAAACAGUUAUAGUUUAUUCGAUUAUUUUCUCCUACAUGGAUAACCGUAGUAAUUCUAGAGCUAAUACAUGCUGUCAAACCUGACUUUUGUGGAAGGGUUGUAUUUAUUAGAUAUAAAACCAAUACCCCGCAAGGGGUUUUGUGAUGAUUCAUAAUAACUGAACGGACCGCGGCUGUGCUGCGGCGAAUCGUUCAAGUUUCUGCCCUAUCAGCUUUCGAUGGUAGUGUAUUGGACUACCAUGGCGAUCACGGGUAACGGGGAAUUAGGGUUCGAUUCCGGAGAGGGAGCCUGAGAAAUGGCUACCACAUCUAAGGAAGGCAGCAGGCGCGUAAAUUACCCAAUCCUAAUUCAGGGAGGUAGUGACAAGAAAUAACAACUCGGACCUCACACGAGGUUACGAGAUUGCAAUGAGAACAAUUUAAACCUCUUAUCGAGUAACAAUUGGAGGACAAGUCUGGUGCCA
rnacentral:rRNA from 1 species